rnacentral:rRNA from 1 species
GUGCCAGCAGCCGCGGUAAGACGAACUGUCCUAACGUUGUUCGGAAUCACUGGGCUUAAAGGGCGCGUAGGCGGUCCGACAAGUCAGGGGUGAAAUCCUGCAGCUUAACUGCAGAAGUGCCUUUGAUACUGUCGGUCUUGAGGGAGAUAGGGGUGUGCGGAACUCACAGUGGAGCGGUGAAAUGCGUUGAUAUUGUGAGGAACGCCGGAGGCGAAAGCGGCGCACUGGAUCUCUUCUGACGCUGAGGCGCGAAAGCUAGGGGAGCAAACGGGAUUAGAAACCCGAGUAGUCC